rnacentral:rRNA from 1 species
GACGAACGCUGGCGGCGUGCCUAAUACAUGCAAGUAGAACGCACAGUUUAUACCGUAGCUUGCUACACCAUAGACUGUGAGUUGCGAACGGGUGAUUAACGCGUAGGUAACCUGCCUGGUAGCGUGGGAUAACUAUUGGAAACGAUAGCUAAUACCGCAUAAUAUUAAUUAUUGCAUGAUAAUUAAUUGAAAGUUUCAAUUGCACCACUACCAUAUGGACCUGCGUUGUAUUAGCUAGUAGGUGAGGUAACGGCUCACCUAGGCGACGAUACAUAGCCGAGCUGAGAGGGAGGUCGGCCAAAAGGGGAAUGGGACACGGGCCAGACUCCUACGGGAGGCAGCAGUAGGGAAUCAUCGGAAAUGGAGGAAAGUCUGACCGAGCAAAGACGCGUGAGUGAAGAAGGUAUUCGGAUCGUAAAGCUCUGUUGUAAGAGAAGAAAGGGUGGGAGAGUGGAAAGUUCACACUGUGACGGUAUCUAACGAGAAAGGGACGGCUAACUACGUG